rnacentral:rRNA from 1 species
UAGGGAAUCUUCCACAAUGGACGCAAGUCUGAUGGAGCAACGCCGCGUGAGUGAAGAAGGUUUUCGGACCGUAAAGCUCUGUUGUUGGUGAAGAAGGAUAGAGGUAGUAACUGGCCUUUAUUUGACGGUAAUCAACCAGAAAGUCACGGCUAACUACGUGCCAGCAGCCGCGGUAAUACGUAGGUGGCAAGCGUUGUCCGGAUUUAUUGGGCGUAAAGCGAGCGCAGGCGGAGGAAUAAGUCUGAUGUGAAAGCCCUCGGCUUAACCGAGGAAUUGCAUCGGAAACUGUUUUCUUGAGUGCAGAAG